AAAACAUAGUCUAUAGUUUUUUUAUUGUAGAUUACAUCUGCUCAAUGAUUUAAACAGAUUAAAUAGCCGCAGUACUUUGACUGUGCUAAGGUAGCAAAAUAAUUUGACUUUUAAUUGGGGCCCCGCAUGAAUGAAUAAAUGGUUAAAACUUGUCUCUUUUGUUUAAUUAAAAAUUUACUUAGUUGGUGAAAAUUCCAAUAAAUAAAAUAUUAGACGAGAAGACCCUUAGAAUUUUGAAUAGAUUAAAUUAAUGUUUUAUUUUUUUUUGUUGGGGCGACAUUAUAAACAUAAAAUGAACUUAUAAUAUAUACAAGACUAAUAGUUAAAAAUGAAUAUAAUUACCUUAGGGAUAACAGCACAAUAUUUUUUUUGUUUGUGACCUCGAUGUUGGAUUAGGGUCAAGACCGGUUAAAAAUUAUUUUUGUUAUUUCUGUUCGAAAUUAGCUUACCUACGUGAUCU
rnacentral:rRNA from 1 species